rnacentral:rRNA from 1 species
ACGGGGUGCAGCAGGCGCGAAAACUUCGCAAUGGGGGCAACCCCGAUGAGGGAAUUCCAAGUGCUAGCACUUUGUGUUAGCUUUUCUUUAGCUUAGAAAACUAGAGGAAUAAGGGCUGGGUAAGACGGGUGCCAGCCGCCGCGGUAAUACCUGCAGCCCAAGUGGUGGUCGAUUUUAUUGAGUCUAAAACGUUCGUAGCCGGUUCGGUAAAUCUUUGGGUAAAUCGGGGGGCUUAACCUCCCGACUUCCGAGGAGACUGCCGAACUUGGGACCGGGAGAGGUCAGAGGUACUUCUGGGGUAGGGGUAAAAUCCUGUAAUCCUGGAAGGACCACCGGUGGCGAAGGCGUCUGACUAGAACGGAUCCGACGGUGAGGGACGAAGCCCUGGGGCGCAAACGGGAUUAGAUACCCCGGUAGUCCAGGGUGUAAACGCUGCGGGCUUGGUGUUGGGGGUCCUUUGUGGGCGCCCAGUGCCGGAGAGAAGUUGUUAAGCCUGCUGCUUGGGGAGUAUGUCCGCAAGGAUGAAACUUAAAGGAAUUGGCGGGGGAGCAC